GCGGGGGUAGUGCAGUGGUUAGCAUUCUGCCUUCCCACUCACCCUCACGCCAAUAUAACGUUGUUGCCCCCCCUGAAUGGUGAGGAGUGAGGGUUGGGGAAAUGGCAGAGACGUGAGUUCGAAUCUCGCCCUCCGCA